ACCGUUCACAACUUUCCCUCUAAGCUCUGUUAUUUUUGGUCGCUGUACCCAUAAAAGCCGAUCACACUGUCUGGUAGAUUCCACGGCCAUGGCUUAGAACUUCAGAGAACCCCAAAUCGAAAAACCGCGUUUCAGUGUAAACGUGUUGGAGAACACUCUGUGAAUCCGAUUCUGUUGUUCUCCUAUAUGAGGUGAGGCAGACAAGUUUGAUGAUGGCAGACCUACCAGGUUAUAUGCGAUCGUGCUUGCAUACUGGAAAACUUGCUUUCUUGGCAAUUUUGGUCUCAGGAGGGAUUGUCUUGCAAAUUUUGGCAUGCGCUUUGUACGACAAUUGGUGGCCGAUGCUAACGGGUACAGUUGCUUCAUGUCCAACUUGAGGAUACUGGGGGAUGCAGGUAAUGAUGAGAGUAGGAAUGGUUUGGAGGACGUCGCAAAACCACGACAUAAAGCGCUUCAACAGAUUCAAAAGAAGUUCAAACUAAGGAGAUAAGGUUACGAGUAUGGGAAAGACAUACCAGAAGAGUGACGAUGGAAGAAAGAGGGAGGCCAGCAAUGAAAGAGUGAGGGGAGGACUGGAGAAAUGCCCUGCCCUCAACCGAACUGGCUCUACACUAAGAGUAAGAGGGAGCUUGACAGAGGUGAAGAGGAAGACUAGUAUGGCAAUGGCAAGAAAUAGACAUGCCAUCACCAAGAAUAUUGGAUUACUCGAGUUAGAAUCUUGGGCCCAAGGCUUGGCUUGGAGUUUGAGGAGAUUGAUGAGUGGAGGAACAACAUACCGCAAAUCCACCAAAACCACCAUCUUUCUAUGCUCGGGAAGUACUACAGUUGAGGUUUUAGUUUUGCUAAAUAGUUUGAGGCUUGUCUGGGGAAGCCGGAGGUAAUGUGAAUGUGGUAUUUAUGGACACCUACAUACAGAGAUUUCACAUUGAGAAAAGACAUUUUUAGUAAAAUGGUAUUAUGAAGGAUGAAGAGACUGUUUGGUAAAUGAACGAGAUUGUGACAGUCUAUAUAAAAGCCUCAAAUUUAUAUAAAUUUGGCGUCAAGCCGUGUUAUAAAAUUGUGACAGUCUAUAUAAGGCGUAAAUGAACAAUAUGUCCUCAAACAUGCUUUAUAUAGACUGUCACAAUUUUAUAAUAGGGCUUAACGUCAAAUUUAUAUAAAUUUGAGGCUUUUAUAUAGACUGUCACAAUCUCGUUCAUUUACCAAACAGUCUCAAUCUCCUCAAACUCCAAGCCAAGCCUUGGGCCCAAGUUCCUAAUUACUUGAAUAAUCCAAUCUUUGAGUUUGUGAUGGCAUGUUUGUUUCUUGCCAUUGCCAUACUAGUCUUCCUCUUCACCUCUGUCAAGCUCCCUCUUACUCUUAGUGUGGAGCCAGUUCGGUUGAGGGCAGGACAUUUCUCCAAUCCUCCCCUCACUCUUGCAUUGCUGGCCUCCCUCUUUCUCCCAUCAUCACUCUUCUGGUAUGUCUUUCCCAUACUCGUAAUCUUAUCUCCUUGGUCUGAAAUUCUUUUGUAUCUGUUGAAGCACUUUAUGUUGUGGUUUUGCGACACCCUCCAAGCCAUUCCUACUCUCACCAUUACCUGCAUCCCCUAGUAUCCUGACGUUGAACAUGAAGCAAUAUUUGUGCCUCAAGUUGAACUCGAAGCAAUUGUCAUUGAAGAGAGCAAUGAAGCCAAUAUAUGACUUCUUUAGUUCUUUCUUUAAUGGAGCCUCAUCGUCCCUGUCUUAAAUAUAUGGUAUUCGUUGUACGUAUGUGUAAUAAUAAUAACGGAUGGAUAGUGUGUUUUUUAGGAUCUUUAAUAGAAUAUUAAGUUGAUCUUCAUAUAUAUGGUCUUAUUAUAGCAGGUUGUAGCUACAACAGAUCAAGCCAUAUUGUAUGCCCUGCUUUUUUUGUUUUGUUGAGACUCCAUAUUUAAUAAAAUAGAAUGUGAUUUCGAGGUUUUAAA